CUCCAGUCAAUAUGAGCUGUAUUCAUUAAAGAAAUGUUAUGUUGGCUUUCAGAUAUUUUACAGCAAGCCUUUUUCUUCUGGACCAGGACACAAGCUUUAAUUUACGACCAGAGGAGGAAGAAAAGAAAUUUUAUGUUGAUGGAUCUUUAAAGGAAUGUCUGCUUGAACCCCAUUCAAAAGAAAAUUCAUAGACUUAAGUGUGUUAUUGAUCAUUUUUGCAUUGUGGAAAAAGCUUGGAGCCCCAGUUGGACCCUUAGAAACUGUGUGUGAAAGGACUGUAAUACUUCAGAGAACCAUGGCCAGUGAUUGUCUGAAGAAAAUUAAUUUCUGUAGAGUAUUCAAGAUAAUUUUGUCUGUGAAUACCAGUAAUAACACUGUACUUCAUUUCUCCACUUCUAUGCACAGUUUGACCGGGAUUCUUUUUACCCUUAUUUCUACACUUUAAACAACUGUUUAUAUAAGCAGGGAAAUAGAAUUAAUGAAAGCUAAAAAAACAAGCCAAAACAAAACUAAGCACAACUCCCAGCAAUGUCUCUGAAAAGUAACCUGCCAAAAGAGAAGGGAAACUAUUCUCCAGUUCCCUUAUGGUAUGCAUAAUAGAGGUAAAUGACCAGUUUCUUGGUUAUUAACUGUUUUUGUUUUAGAUUUUUCCAAAUGUGUUAUGAAUCUU